rnacentral:rRNA from 1 species
UCAAGUGAAUAAGUGCAUCAGGUGGAUGCCUUGGCGAUGAUAGGCGACGAAGGACGUGUAAGCCUGCGAAAAGCGUGGGGGAGCUGGCAAUAAAGCUAUGAUCCCGCGAUAUCCGAAUGGGGAAACCCACUGCAUUCUGUGCAGUAUCCUAAGUUGAAUACAUAGACUUAGAGAAGCGAACCCGGAGAACUGAACCAUCUAAGUACCCGGAGGAAAAGAAAUCAACCGAGAUUCCGCAAGUAGUGGCGAGCGAACGCGGAGGAGCCUGUACGUAAUAACUGUCGAGAUAGAAGAACAAGCUGGGAAGCUUGACCAUAGUGGGUGAUAGUCCCGUAUUCGAAAUCUCAACAGUGGUACUAAGCGUACGAAAAGUAGGGCGGGACACGUGAAAUCCUGUCUGAAUAUGGGGGGACCAUCCUCCAAGGCUAAAUACUCAUCAUCGACCGAUAGUGAACCAGUACCGUGAGGGAAAGGCGAAAAGAACCCCGGGAGGGGAGUGAAAUAGAACCUGAAACCUGAUGCAUACAAACAGUGGGAGCACCCUUAUGGUGUGACUGCGUACCUUUUGUAUAAUGGGUCAACGACUUACAUUCAGUAGCGAGCUUAACCGAAUAGGGGAGGCGUAGGGAAACCGAGUCUUAAUAGGGCGAAGAGUUGCUGGGUGUAGACCCGAAACCGAGUGAUCUAUCCAUGGCCAGGUUGAAGGUGCCGUAACAGGUACUGGAGGACCGAACCCACGCAUGUUGCAAAAUGCGGGGAUGAGCUGUGGAUAGGGGUGAAAGGCUAAACAAACUCGGAGAUAGCUGGUUCUCCCCGAAAACUAUUUAGGUAGUGCCUCGAGCAAGACACUGAUGGGGGUAAAGCACUGUUAUGGCUAGGGGGUUAUUGCAACUUACCAACCCAUGGCAAACUAAGAAUACCAUCAAGUGGUUCCUCGGGAGACAGACAGCGGGUGCUAACGUCCGUUGUCAAGAGGGAAACAACCCAGACCGCCAGCUAAGGUCCCAAAUGAUAGAUUAAGUGGUAAACGAAGUGGGAAGGCCCAGACAGCCAGGAUGUUGGCUUAGAAGCAGCCAUCAUUUAAAGAAAGCGUAAUAGCUCACUGGUCGAGUCGUCCUGCGCGGAAGAUGUAACGGGGCUCAAAUCUAUAACCGAAGCUGCGGAUGCCAGUUUACUGGUAUGGUAGGGGAGCGUUCUGUAGGCCGAUGAAGGUGCAUUGUAAAGUGUGCUGGAGGUAUCAGAAGUGCGAAUGUUGACAUGAGUAGCGAUAAAGCGGGUGAAAAGCCCGCUCGCCGAAAGCCCAAGGUUUCCUACGCAACGUUCAUCGGCGUAGGGUGAGUCGGCCCCUAAGGCGAGGCAGAGAUGCGUAGUCGAUGGGAAACAGGUUAAUAUUCCUGUACUUGAUUCAAAUGCGAUGUGGGGACGGAGAAGGUUAGGUUAGCAAGCUGUUGGAAUAGCUUGUUUAAGCCGGUAGGUGGAAGACUUAGGCAAAUCCGGGUCUUCUUAACACCGAGAAGUGAUGACGAGUGUCUACGGACAUGAAGUAACCAAUACCACGCUUCCAGGAAAAGCCACUAAGCUUCAGUUUGAAUCGAACCGUACCGCAAACCGACACAGGUGGGCAGGAUGAGAAUUCUAAGGCGCUUGAGAGAACUCAGGAGAAGGAACUCGGCAAAUUGAUACCGUAACUUCGGGAGAAGGUAUGCCCUCUAGGGUGAAGGAUUUACUCCGUAAGCUUUGGAGGGUCGCAGAGAAUCGGUGGCUGCGACUGUUUAUUAAAAACACAGCACUCUGCAAACACGAAAGUGGACGUAUAGGGUGUGACGCCUGCCCGGUGCUGGAAGGUUAAUUGAAGAUGUGCAAGCAUCGGAUCGAAGCCCCAGUAAACGGCGGCCGUAACUAUAACGGUCCUAAGGUAGCGAAAUUCCUUGUCGGGU